rnacentral:piRNA from 1 species
UGAACAUUUCUGAUGACUUACUAUUUACC